UGAAGCAGAAGGAAAGGAAGAGAAGGACAAAACAGACAAAAAGAAAAGACCCAGAGCUGCAGGAUCUAAAAUGGAGUAAACAUGCAACUGAGUAAUACUGAUCCUGUGCUUCCUGAACCCUCUUUAGAAGUGUAUAAAAUUGCAUAUUAAAAUCCAUUAAUUGCGAUUUUUUUUUUGCAGGAUGAAGAUCCAGGACAAACACUGCUGCUCCUCAGGCAAAGCCAGUCCUUUACUCUUUAUGCGGUAGGUUUAAACACUGAUGCCCAGGAGGAAAGGAGGAUUGUGUCCAAAGACCCUGAGGAGAUGGAGCUGCUUCCCUGCAAGCCUGGCUGAGGAGCCUCCAGGAGAGGGAAGCCAUCCAGACUCAUUAGCAGACCAUGGCAGUUGUCAGGACUGAUGAUAUCUGGAGGCAGCUGCUGUUUUCCAGCUCACCUCUAAGGAUCCACUGAGGCACAGCUACACAGGACUCUCCAUGGGAUGAUGUAAGAUUUGGA
rnacentral:lncRNA from 1 species